AGAUUGAACACUGGCGGCAUGCCUAACACAUGCAAGUCGAACGGGAGUAGCAAUACUCUAGUGGCGGACGGGUGAGGAAUACGUAGGAAUUUGCCCUUAAGUGGGGGAUAACCCGGGGAAACCCGGAUUAAUACCGCAUGACCUCGAAAGAGCAAAGUGGGGGAUCGCAAGACCUCACGCUUUUGGAGAAGCCUACGUCGGAUUAGCUAGUUGGUGAGGUAAUGGCUCACCAAGGCGACGAUCCGUAACUGGUCUGAGAGGAUGAUCAGUCACACCGGAACUGAGACACGGUCCGGACUCCUACGGGAGGCAGCAGCGGGGAAUAUUGGACAAUGGGCGCAAGCCUGAUCCAGCAAUGCCGCGUGUGUGAAGAAGGCCUUCGGUUGUAAAGCACUUUAAGUUAGGGAAGAAAAACUACGACUACCAACACAGUGAGUCUUGACGCACCGACAGAAUAAGCACCGCUAACUCUGUGCCAGCACGCCGAC
rnacentral:rRNA from 1 species